rnacentral:lncRNA from 10 species
CAGUCAGAACUCACUUGGUAACCUGCACAGUCUGUCUGUGGCUAAACCAGUCACCAUCUCCUGCACUGGAAGCAGCAGCAAUAAGGGUCUUGGGAUUGUGUCCUGGUACCAACAAUGAACAGGAAGUGUCCCCAAACCUCUGAUCCAUAGAAGCCAAUAUACACUUUUAGGGAUGUAGGACUGAUUCUCAAGCUAUCAGUUUUCCAAAAAGGCCUUCCUGAGCAUCUCUGGGCUCCAGGAUGAGAACAAGGCUGAUCACUAAUGUUGGCAUUAGUGAUCAUGUUUGUGAUUUGCUAUAAAAUCAUCCAGCGAUGGAGUAAGAUGAUGG